rnacentral:lncRNA from 1 species
UUGAUAUUCAAUAUAUGUCUGUUAACAUAAUGAAAAUGGUGACAUCAUAAUAACUCUUUUGUUGAAAACCAGCACUACUUCCUGAAACAUAUUUGAGUCAGUUAGAAGCUAGUUUUCUGAUGAAGAAGAAAGUAAUAAAAACAAGUAAGAAGACAUAAAAAGAAGAUGAAGAAAAGGGAGGAGGAGCAGGAAAAGGAGGAGAAGGAUGAGGGAGAUGAAGAGAAGGAAGAAGCAAAAGCAACCUGAUUUUUGAAAAGAAAAAAGGAACUUCCUCGAACUAAAGCAGUUAAGACCUCGACAUUUGCUCAUAGAAAAAGUCGCUGAGUCGUUUCUAGUUGUGAAGGUGCAAAAGAUGCAGUUAUCCCUUAUGGAAAAUUCCAAGAACUUGUGCCUAAUUUGAGUCAUGCAAACCUGAGUUCUGCAUGACUGAGCUCUGUCACUCAAUGGUUGGGA